UAUAAUAAAAUGCAUUGAGACUUUCUCCGAACCACAAAACAGAAAGAAACACCGUGUUCACCGAGGAGACGCAUCCUGGAGUAACGUGUGCAAAGACCUGGGAGUGCCAAAUCAUUGUACAAAUCGUACAAAACUUAAUCAUGUUGCUCUGCACUACCAAAAGAGAACCAUGGAAGUCAGACACAAACCCAAAAAUAUCCAUGUUGAAGGUGAUAGUGGGACCUCUGGAGAGAACACAUCUUCUUUGGAUGAAGGAAACACUGGAGAUGUGUCCAUCUGCAAUGGAAGGAAAUGAAUCUCUAUUUGCUCAAACAGGAUGUUGUGGAGGACAGUGAUGACAAUGGCAUUGUCCUAAACAUUUCUCCUGAAUUGAAACAAACUGGUGUCUCCAUCACGUCUACAUCCCUCGAAAAGGACUGGAGUAGAAAUUCAUCACACAGAAGUGACAGUAGUAAUGCUGAAGAGGAAUUCUACAAAUGCUCUUUGCCACAGCAGCCAUGUUUGUUUUCAUUGACCAGAAAGACUGGCAA